rnacentral:rRNA from 1 species
GACAGAGGGGGCAAGCGUUGCUCGGAAUUACUGGGCGUAAAGGGCGCGUAGGCGGGAUGGCAAGUCGGUCGUGAAAUCCUUCGGCUCAACCGAAGAACGUCGAUCGAUACUGCUGUUCUUGAGGGUUGCAGAGGGAGACUGGAAUCCCGGUGUAGCGGUGAAAUGUGUAGAGAUCGGGAGGAACACCGGUGGCGAAGGCGGGGUCUCUGGGCAUUCCUGACGCUGAGCGCGAAAGCGUGGGGAGCAAACGG